GACGAACGCUUGCGGCGUGCUUAACACAUGCAAGUCGAACGGAAAGGCCCUGCUUUUGUGGGGUGCUCGAGUGGCGAACGGGUGAGUAACACGUGAGUAACCUGCCCUUGACUUUGGGAUAACUUCAGGAAACUGGGGCUAAUACCGGAUAGGAGCUCCUGCUGCAUGGUGGGGGUUGGAAAGUUUCGGCGGUUGGGGAUGGACUCGCGGCUUAUCAGCUUGUUGGUGGGGUAGUGGCUUACCAAGGCUUUGACGGGUAGCCGGCCUGAGAGGGUGACCGGCCACAUUGGGACUGAGAUACGGCCCAGACUCCUACGGGAGGCAGCAGUGGGGAAUAUUGCACAAUGGGCGGAAGCCUGAUGCAGCAACGCCGCGUGCGGGAUGACGGCCUUCGGGUUGUAAACCGCUUUCGCCUGUGACGAAGCGUGAGUGACGGUAAUGGGUAAAGAAGCACCGGCUAACUACGUGCCAGCAGCCGCGGUGAUACGUAGGGUGCGAGCGUUGUCCGGAUUUAUUGGGCGUAAAGGGCUCGUAGGUGGUUGAUCGCGUCGGAAGUGUAAUCUUGGGGCUUAACCCUGAGCGUGCUUUCGAUACGGGUUGACUUGAGGAAGGUAGGGGAGAAUGGAAUUCCUGGUGGAGCGGUGGAAUGCGCAGAUAUCAGGAGGAACACCAGUGGCGAAGGGGGUUCUCUGGGCCUUUCCUGACGCUGAGGGGCGAAAGCGUGGGGAGCGAACAGGCUUAGAUACCCUGGUAGUCCACGCUGUAAACGGUGGGUACAAGGUGUGGGGUCCAUUCCACGGGUUCCGUGCCGUAGCUAACGCUUUAAGUACCCCGCCUGGGGAGUACGGCCGCAAGGCUAAAACUCAAAGGAAUUGACGGGGCCCCGCACAAGCGGCGGAGCAUGCGGAUUAAUUCGAUGCAACGCGUAGAACCUUACCUGGGUUUGACAUGGAUCGGGAGUGCUCAGAGAUGGGUGUGCCUCUUUUGGGGUCGGUUCACAGGUGGUGCAUGGCUGUCGUCAGCUCGUGUCGUGAGAUGUUGGGUUAAGUCCCGCAACGAGCGCAACCCUUGUUCACUGUUGCCAGCACGUUAUGGUGGGGACUCAGUGGAGACCGCCGGGGUCAACUCGGAGGAAGGUGGGGAUGACGUCAAGUCAUCAUGCCCCUUAUGUCCAGGGCUUCACGCAUGCUACAAUGGCUGGUACAGAGAGUGGCGAGCCUGUGAGGGUGAGCGAAUCUCGGAAAGCCGGUCUCAGUUCGGAUUGGGGUCUGCAACUCGACCUCAUGAAGUCGGAGUCGCUAGUAAUCGCAGAUCAGCAACGCUGCGGUGAAUACGUUCCCGGG
rnacentral:rRNA from 1 species